rnacentral:piRNA from 1 species
AUGGUAGAGCACAACCCCCA